GGAGUUAGCCGGUGCUUCUUCUGUGAGUGAUGUCCUUCCUGCCGGCUAUUAACCCGCAGGCCUUCUUCCUCACUGAAAGUGCUUUACAACCCGAAGGCCUUCUUCACACACGCGGCAUGGCUGGAUCAGGGUUGCCCCCAUUGUCCAAUAUUCCCCACUGCUGCCUCCCGUAGGAGUCUGGGCCGUGUCUCAGUCCCAGUGUGGCUGAUCAUCCUCUCAGACCAGCUACGGAUCGUCGCCUUGGUGAGCCGUUACCUCACCAACCAGCUAAUCCGACAUAGGCUCAUCCGAUAGCGCGAGGCCCGAAGGUCCCCCGCUUUCCCCCGUAGGGCGUAUGCGGUAUUAGCCUGGGUUUCCCCAGGUUAUCCCCCACUACCGGGCAGAUUCCUAUGCAUUACUCACCCGUCCGCCGCUCGCCACCAGGGAGCAAGCUCCCCGUGCUGCCGCUCGACUUGCAUGUGUUAGGCCUGCCGCCACGCGUCAUCUGAACCAAGAUACAACUACUGA
rnacentral:rRNA from 1 species